rnacentral:rRNA from 1 species
GACGAACGCUGGCGGCGUGCUUAACACAUGCAAGUCGAACGAAGUGGAGAACGGGUGAGUAACGCGUAAUCAACCUACCCUUCAGAGGGGGACAACAGUUGGAAACGACUGCUAAUACCGCAUAAUUUCGAUGGGGAUUGCGUCUGAUUAGCUAGUUGGCGGGGUAACGGCCUACCAAGGAGAUGAUCAGAAGCCGGUCUGAGAGGCUGAACGGCCACAUUGGGACUGAGAAAAGGCCCAGACGCCUACGGGAGGCAGCAGUGGGGAAUCUUCCGCAAUGGACGAAAGUCUGACGGAGCAAAGCCGCGUGAGUGAGGACGGCCUUCGGGUUGUAAAGCUCUGUUAAUCGGGACGCGGUACCGGAAUAGAAAGCCACGGCUAACUCCGUGCCAGCAGCCGCGGUAAUAC